CAGGAUGUUGAGUUUGCCGUGGAAACCCUAGAGAGUAUUGGAGGCUUGCCGGAUCCUACAAGUUCUAGUAUGAUCGAAGGUUGCUGGCAGCUAAUUUUCACUACAAGACCUGGAACAGCAUCACCAAUUCAAUAUCAACUUGAAAUAUGAGAAUAAUCUUUAAGCUCAAUCACAAUUCAAGAUUUAGCAGCAUUUUGAAGAAGAUGGUGUUUCAACAUUGCUCUAAAAGGUGUUGGGCUGUGGAUCAACCGCCUGCUAUCUGGAACCAUCUUUUAGUACCUUAUGUUUUGGCAUAUUGUUUCUAUCAGGCAUAAUGUUAGUACCAAAUAAAUAUUUAUGUUAUGCUUGUUUAUACAAGACAUGCAUGCAAGUUCAGCUUGCUUUAUACUUUAAGCUUGAUAGCCUAUCAGAAAAACUUUUUCUAUUAUGAUGUUACUUAUAAGCAAUUCAUGUUUACAAAGGUUGCAUGAUGAAGAUUACUUAAAUGAUUA